rnacentral:rRNA from 1 species
AGCGAACGCUGGCGGCAGGCUUAACACAUGCAAGUCGAACGGGCGUAGCAAUACGUCAGUGGCAGACGGGUGAGUAACGCGUGGGAACGUACCUUUUGGUUCGGAACAACCCAGGGAAACUUGGGCUAAUACCGGAUAAGCCCUUACGGGGAAAGAUUUAUCGCCGAAAGAUCGGCCCGCGUCUGAUUAGCUAGUUGGUGUGGUAACGGCGCACCAAGGCGACGAUCAGUAGCUGGUCUGAGAGGAUGAUCAGCCACAUUGGGACUGAGACACGGCCCAAACUCGUACGGGAGGCAGCAGUGGGGAAUAUUGGACAAUGGGCGCAAGCCUGAUCCAGCCAUGCCGCGUGAGUGGUGAAGGCCCUAGGGUUGUAAAGCUCUUUUGUGCGGGAAGAUAAUGACGGUACCGCAAGAAUAAGCCCCGGCUAACUUCGUGCCAGCAGCCGCGGUAAC